GUGCUCACUUCAGCAGCUCAUGGAAAUCAGGAUGACACAGAGGACAUCAGCAUGGCCCCUGAACAAGGACAACACACAACUUUGUGAAAUAUUCCAUAUUAUG
ensembl:snRNA U6 U6 spliceosomal RNA